GUUGUAGCUCAGUGGUAAAGUGCCUGCCUAGCAUUCAUGAAGCACUGGGUUCAAUCCUCAGCACCACA
rnacentral:tRNA from 1 species